UGGUGGCUGGGGUUCAGUCUGCCGCUGCAAAUACCAAAAGCUGUCCUCAUUGAGUCAUCCCUCCCAGAGCAGGAAGAGCAGAGGUUCUGGGAAACAACCCCAAGGAGAGAGACAGGGCAUUUAUAAAACAGCAUGUAAGCAUCUCUGCAGUUGCUGUCCCCAGAGCCCACUUCCUGGAUAUUGCCAGCUGCCUGGACCAACCUUUCCGAAAGAUCAGCCAGGUCACAGUGAGGGUCAAAGGUGAGCCACGGGCCUCAGCAGCUGCUGAGUGGAUGGUGCGUGGGACUCAGGAAGUGACGUUCUCUCCCCGCCCAGCCCCCUUCCUCAGUCUAUUGCUCCGAAUCCUGGACCACACACUGCGUGCUGAGGCUCCAUCGCUGUGCUGGGUGAGGGGUGGAGGACUGUCCAGCUGACAGCCACCCAGGAGGCCUGCCCAGGAGACCCAGCCCAGCCUCUCCUUGGAACCUGAAGAACUCCAGGCAGCUGAUGGGACACUGGGGCCCAGCAGGAGGCCACUGGAGGCUCCAAGGGCUCUGAAAUGUUGAGAACUUCCCUGCAGGUACCAGCGAAGAGGGCAAGAACACAGCACUACUUCCUUGGAUACUGUUUCCCUCCUCAGAGGGGUUUUCUGAGCUGCCCUGGGUCCUGUGAGGAAGAUCUCCCCUUCCUGUAAAGACACCAGUCCUACUGGAUCAGGGCCCACCCGUGUGACUUCACUUUUACUUGAGUACCUCUCACAGACCCUAACUCCAAAUCAGGUCACUUGCUGAGGUACUGCAUGUGAAGACUUUGACAUUUGAAUUUUGAGGGGGCCACCGUUUAACCUGAACCACCAAGGACAGAGCCAAAGACCCUGGGUGACAGGCCCAGAACAGGACCUGGUGGAGGCUCUUCUUUAGGGGAGAGAGGGAAAUGGGAGCCACCACUGGCAGAGCCUGAAGGCAGGGCAGCCAGAAAGAAGCUGUGGGAGUCCCCACCAUGGAAGACCCUGCCGAGCAUCCUGUGUCUCCUGAAGCAGACCCUGACAUGAGGACUGGGGGCACGUGUUUAUUAAGGGCGAUCCCCGGAAGGAGGAGAUAACCAGGCAGAAGUCCUAGCAGAGUAUGCCCACGCUGGUUAGUGCUGCUGCAAAGAUGAGCCGAAGACCAUGAGAGACCUCCAGGUGGUCCUUCUGGGGAGAAGAAAUGGGUUUUGGCCCCAAAUCCUUCUGCUGCAUUUUUCCCCUAUCCCUGGGAAGCCAUGAGACCUCAAACCUGUGUUCCCAAGGAGGCGAGCUGCUGUUCCCAGGUGAUGAUAUGAUGUGCUUGGGGAAAGUAAGUGGCUGCCAGACAUGGCUGAGAGCUGUUGUCACUGCCGUCAAGUGCAUGUCUCCAAGCCAUAUCACACGGCGUCCCUCGAUGUGAGGCCACAUGGCAAGUGGGCCGUGGAUCUCCCUCUGCCCUUUGCAAGCACGUAAGACAGCAGAUUUUGCAGAUACCUUGUGGCGCAGGGGAAUUUCCUUUGGCCAGGUCUGAAGAAAUAAAGCAGCAGGCACCGAGAACAAAGCCAAGGCUUUCAAAAGACAAGGAGCCAAAAAACUUACUCAAAAUAAAAGUAGUUUUAAAAUGUC
rnacentral:lncRNA from 1 species